rnacentral:rRNA from 1 species
AAUGAACGUUGGCGGCGUGGAUUAGGCAUGCAAGUCGAGCGAGAACCCCGCAAGGGGGGACAGCGGCAAACGGGGUAGUAAUGUGUCGGAACGUGCCCUCUGGACGGGGAUAGCGGCGGGAAACUGCCGGUAAUACCCGAUGAACUCGAGAGAGCAAAGGUGUGAUUCCGCCGGAGGAGCGGCCGACAUGGUAUUAGCUAGUUGGCGGGGUAAUGGCCCACCAAGGCUGUGAUGCCUAGGGGAUGUGAGAGCAUGAUCCCCACCAUUGGGACUGAGACACUGCCCAGACACCUACGGGUGGCUGCAGUCGAGAAUCUUCGUCAAUGGGCGAAAGCCUGAACGAGCGACGCCGCGUGUGGGAUGAAGGCCUUUGGGUUGUAAACCACUGUCGAGGGGGAUGAAGGCUUGAAGGUACUCCUUCAAGUUUGACAGAGCCCUGGAGGAAGCACGGGCUAAACUCGUGCCAGCCGCCGCCGUAAGAC